GGUCAAGUUAUGAAAGAGUAUAUGAUGGAUGCCUUGGUGCCAGUAGGCGAAGAAGGACGUGGUAAGCUACGAUAAGCCCUGGGGAGUUGCAAACUAACAUUGAUCCAGGGAUUUCCGAAUGGGAAAACCCAUCAUAGGUAAUGCUAUGAUAUCCUUUUGGAGGCUAAACUAAGGGAAGUGAAACAUCUCAGUACCUUGGGAAAAGAAAGCAAAAGCGAUUUCCUGAGUAGCGGCGAGCGAAAUGGAAUCAGCCUAAACCUAGUGAAUGAAAUAUCCUGUGAGAGUUGUUCAAUAGGGGUUAUAGGAUUUAUUGUAAUUAAGACACAGCUUAAUUGGCAAGUUAGAAAGAUAUAUCUUAGUUGAAUAAUUCUGGAAAGAAUAACCAAAGAAGGUGAUAGUCCUGUAGUCGAAAAGAUGUAUUCUUGCUAAGUAAGUCCUGAGUAACGCGGGACACGUGGAAUCUUGUGUGAAGGUAGGAGGACCAUCUCCUAAGGCUAAAUACUAACUGGCGACCGAUAGUGAACAAGUACCGUGAGGGAAAGGUGAAAAGAACUCCUUUUAGGAGAGUGAAAUAGUACCUGAAAUCAUAUACUUACAAGCGGUAGGAGGGCUAUGUUCUUGCUUCGGCAAGAAAAUGCCUGACUGCGUGCCUUUUGUAUAAUGAACCGGCGAGUUACAUAGGUGUAGCAAGGCUAAUCCCGUAGAGUGGGAGUAACCGUAGCGAAAGCAAGUAUUAAUUGUGCGUAUAGUUACACCUAGUAGACCCGAAGCUGGGUGAUCUACCCAUGGCCAGAGUGAAGCUCCGUUAAAACGGAGUGAAGGCUCGAACUAGUUGGUGUUGAAAAACCAUUGGAUGAGCUGUGGGUAGGGGUGAAAGGCCAAUCAAACCCAGUGAUAGCUGGUUCUCCCCGAAAUAUUUUUAGGAAUAGCCUCAUAUAAAUUAGAUAAUAGAGGUAGAGCGCUGGCUGAGCUAAGAGCCUUACCAGGUUACUAAGCCCAAUCAAACUCCGAAUACUAUUGUCUGUACUAUGGGAGUCAGAAUGUGGGGGAUAAGCUCCAUAUUCAAGAGGGAAACAGCCCAGACCAUCAGUUAAGGUCCCAAAAUAUGAACUAAGUGGCUAAGGAUGUUGGAAUGCAAAGACAGCCAGGAUGUUGGCUUAGAAGCAGCCACUCAUUUAAAGAGUGCGUAACAGCUCACUGGUCAAGUGAUCUUGCGCCGAAAAUUCACGGGACUCAAGUUCAUUACCGAAACUAUGGGUUUUGUUUAAUCUUCGGAUUAAGCAGAGCGGUAGGGGAGCGUUCCAUGUUAGGUUGAAGCUCGAUCGUAAGGACGAGUCGACGAAAUGGAAGUGAUUAUGCCGGUAUGAGUAACGAUAAUAUCGAUGAGAAAGCGAUACGCCUGAAGUCCAAGGUUUCCUCCGCAAUGGUAAUCAACGGAGGGUUAGUCGGAUCCUAAGUCGAGGUUGAAAAACGUAGGCGAUGGGUGAUCUGCUAAUAUUCAGAUACUAUUUAAUCUGCGUUUGAGCAAAGGGGGGACACGGAAAGUAAAGCCAGCACACGGAUGGAAGUGUGUGUCCAAGCUUGUAGAGGGUCUCAAUAGGUAAAUCCGUUGGGACGCAACCUCAAGGAGUGUUAGGGAGUCUGAUCUACGGAGAAGGCGAACUGGCUCUAUCUAUGCCGUCAAGAAAAGCCUCUAGUGAGUAGAUUAAGUAUCCGUACCGCAAACCGACACAGGUGGACAGGGAGAGAAUCCUAAGGCGCUCGAGAGAACUUUCGUUAAGGAACUCUGCAAAUUAGCCCCGUAACUUCGGAAGAAGGGGUGUUUUUACGUGUGAGGUUUCUUGCAAACUGAGCACGUGAAAAUCACAGUAAAGGGGCCCAGGCGACUGUUUAGCAAAAACACAGGUCUCUGCUAAAUCGCAAGAUGAUGUAUAGGGACUGACACCUGCCCGGUGCCGGAAGGUUAAGAAAAGGGGUUAUUCUCCUGAUUUAUCAGGGGGAGAAGCUCUGGAUUGAAGCCCCGGUAAACGGCGGCCGUAACUAUAACGGUCCUAAGGUAGCGAAAUUCCUUGUCGGGUAAAUUCCGACCUGCACGAAUGGUGUAACGAUCUGGGCACUGUCUCAACGAGAGGCUCGGUGAAAUUGUAGUAAUGGUGAAGAUGCCAUUUUCCCGCGACAAGACGGAAAGACCCCGUGAACCUUUACUGUAGCUUGAUAUUGGGUUUUAGUAUAGUUUGUAGAGGAUAGGUGGGAGGCUAUGAUAUCUCGGCGCUAGUCGGGGUUGAGCCAACCUUGGAAUACCACCCUAAUUAUAUCAGAACUCUAACCUUGUUCUUUGAAUCAAGACAUGGGAAAGUAUCUGGUAGGCAGUUUGACUGGGGCGGUCACCUCCUAAAAAGUAACGGAGGUGCCCUAAGGUUUCCUCAAUACGGUCGGUAAUCGUAUGUAGAGUGUAAAGGCAUAAGGAAGCUUGACUGCGAGACAUACAAGUCGAGCAGGUGCGAAAGCAGGGCUUAGUGAUCCGGCGGUUCUGAGUGGAAGGGCCGUCGCUCAUCGGAUAAAAGGUACUCCGGGGAUAACAGGCUUAUCUCCCCCAAGAGUUCACAUCGACGGGGAGGUUUGGCACCUCGAUGUCGGCUCAUCGCAUCCUGGGGCUGUAGUAGGUCCCAAGGGUUCGGCUGUUCGCCGAUUAUAGCGGUACGCGAGCUGGGUUCAGAACGUCGUAAGACAGUUCGGUCCCUAUCUGUCGUGGGCGUAGGAUAUUUGAGAGGAGCUGUUCUUAGUACGAGAGGACCGGAACGGACGAACCUCCAGUGUAUCAGUUGUCACGCCAGUGGCAUAGCUGAGUAGCUGCGUUCGGAAAGGAUAAAUGCUGAAAGCAUAUAAGCAUCAAGCCUCCCUCAAGAUUUGAUAUCCCUUUCUCCGAAGAAAUUCGGGGAACUGAAGAUCUCCCGUAGACUACGGGAUUGAUAGGCUGGAAGUGUAAGUACAGUGAUGUAUUUAGCUUAUCAGUACUAAUAGAUCGUGAGACUUGACCAU
rnacentral:rRNA from 1 species